GAUGAAGAGCGUAGUGAAAUGCGAUAAGUAAUGUGAAUUGCAGAAUUCAGUGAAUCAUCGAAUCUUUGAACGCACAUUGCGCCCCUUGGUAUUCCGAGGGGCAUGCCUGUUCGAGCGUCAUUAUAACCCCUCAAGCUCAGCUUGGUGUUGGGGCCUGCUGCACUGGCAGCCCUUAAAAUCAGUGGCGGCGCCAUCUGGCUCUAAGCGUAGUAAUUCUUCUCGCUAUGGAGUCCUGGUGGAUGCUUGCCAUCAACCCCCAAUUUUUCUAUGGUUGACCUCGGAUCAGGUAGGGAUACCCGCUGAACUUAAGCAUAUCAAUAAGCGGAGGA
rnacentral:misc_RNA from 1 species